AUUGAACGCUGGCGGCAUGCCUUACACAUGCAAGUCGAACGGUAACGGGCCUUCGGGUGCCGACGAGUGGCGAACGGGUGAGUAAUACAUCGGAACGUGCCCGCUCGUGGGGGAUAACGAGGCGAAAGCUUUGCUAAUACCUCAUACGAUCUACGGAUGAGAGCCGGGGACCGCAAGGCCUUGCGCGGACGGAGCGGCCGAUGGCAGAUUAGGUAGUUGGUGGGAUAAAAGCUUACCAAGCCGACGAUCUGUAGCUGGUCUGAGAGGAUGAUCGGCCACACUGGGACUGAGACACGGCCCAGACUCCUACGGGAGGCAGCAGUGGGGAAUUUUGGACAAUGGGCGCAAGCCUGAUCCAGCCAUGCCGCGUGCAGGAUGAAGGCCUUCGGGUUGUAAACUGCUUUUGUACGGAACGAAAAGCCUUCUUUUAAUACAGGAGGGUCAUGACGGUACCGUAAGAAUAAGCACCGGCUAACUACGUG
rnacentral:rRNA from 1 species